AUUGAACGCUGGCGGCAGGCCUAACACAUGCAAGUCGAGCGGAUGAAGGGAGCUUGCUCCUGGAUUCAGCGGCGGACGGGUGAGUAAUGCCUAGGAAUCUGCCUGGUAGUGGGGGAUAACGUCCGGAAACGGGCGCUAAUACCGCAUACGUCCUGAGGGAGAAAGUGGGGGAUCUUCGGACCUCACGCUAUCAGAUGAGCCUAGGUCGGAUUAGCUAGUUGGUGGGGUAAAGGCCUACCAAGGCGACGAUCCGUAACUGGUCUGAGAGGAUGAUCAGUCACACUGGAACUGAGAAAAGGUCCAGACUCCUACGGGAAGCAGCAGUGGGGAAUAUUGGACCAUGGGGGAAAGCCUGAUCCAGCCAUGGCGCGGGGGUGAAGAAGGUCUUCGGAUUGUAAAGCACCUUAAGUUGGGAGGAAGGGCAGUAAGUUAAUACCUUGCUGUUUUGACGUUACCAACAGAAUAAGCACCGGCUAACUUCGUG
rnacentral:rRNA from 1 species